rnacentral:rRNA from 1 species
UGGCUCAGGACGAACGCUGGCGGCGUGCCUAAUACAUGCAAGUCGAGCGGAGUUGAUGAGGUGCUUGCACCUCUGAUACUUAGCGGCGGACGGGUGAGUAACACGUAGGCAACCUGCCUAUAAGACUGGGAUAACAUUCGGAAACGAAUGCUAAUACCGGAUACGCAAUUUGGUCGCAUGACUGGAUUGGGAAAGACGGAGCAAUCUGUCACUUAUAGAUGGACCUGCGGCGCAUUAGCUAGUUGGUGAGGUAACGGCUCACCAAGGCGACGAUGCGUAGCCGACCUGAGAGGGUGAUCGGCCACACUGGGACUGAGACACGGCCCAGACUCCUACGGGAGGCAGCAGUAGGGAAUCUUCCGCAAUGGACGAAAGUCUGACGGAGCAACGCCGCGUGAGUGAUGAAGGUUUUCGGAUCGUAAAGCUCUGUUGCCAGGGAAGAACGCUUGGGAGAGUAACUGCUCUCAAGGUGACGGUACCUGAGAAGAAAGCCCCGGCUAACUACGUGCCAGCAGCCGCGGUAAUACGUAGGGGGCAAGCGUUGUCCGGAAUUAUUGGGCGUAAAGCGCGCGCAGGCGGUUCAUUAAGUCUGGUGUUUAAGGCUAGGGCUCAACCCUGGUUCGCACUGGAAACUGUUGAACUUGAGUGCAGAAGAGGAAAGUGGAAUUCCACGUGUAGCGGUG